rnacentral:rRNA from 1 species
CCUACGGGUGGCAGCAGUGGGGAAUAUUGCGCAAUGGGCGAAAGCCUGACGCAGCGACGCCGCGUGAGGGAUGAAGGUCUUCGGAUCGUAAACCUCUGUUAGCAGGGAAGAACGGUCACUGUGCUAAUCAGCAGUGAAUUGACGGUACCUGCAAAGGAAGCACCGGCUAACUCCGUGCCCGCAGCCGCGGUAAUACGGAGGGUGCGAGCGUUAAGCGGAAUUACUGGGCGUAAAGCGCUCGUAGGCGGUAUGUCAAGUCAAGGGUGAAAUCCCCGCGCGCAACGUGGGAACUGCCUUUGAAACGGGCAAACUGGAGUGUGUGAGAGGAUAGUGGAAUUCCAGGUGUAGGAGUGAAAUCCGUAGAUAUCUGGAGGAACAUCAGUGGCGAAGGCGACUAUCUGGCACAUAACUGACGCUGAGGAGCGAAAGCGUGGGUAGCAAACAGGAUUAGAUACCCUGGUAGUC